rnacentral:rRNA from 1 species
UACAGAGGGUGCGAGCGUUAAUCGGAAUUACUGGGCGUAAAGCGUGCGUAGACGGUUGCGUAAGUCAGAUGUGAAAGCCCCGGGCUCAACCUGGGAAUUGCAUUGAGACUGCGUAGCUAGGGUGCGGAAGAGGGAAGCGGAAUUUCCGGUGUAGCGGUGAAAUGCGCAGAUAUUGGGAAGAACACCAGUGGCGAAGGCGGUUCUCUGGGACGGUACGUGGACCGCUGAGACGCGAAAGCGUGGGGAGCGAACGAGGAUUGA